UACGUAGGCAGCGAGCGUUGUUCGGAGUUACUGGGCGUAAAGGGUGUGUAGGCGGUCCCUUAAGUUUGGUGUGAAAUCUCCCGGCUCAACUGGGAGGGUGCGCCGGAUACUGAGGGGCUAGAGUGCGGGAAGGGAAAGUGGAAUUCCUGGUGUAGCGGUGAAAUGCGUAGAUAUCAGGAGGAACACCGGUGGUGCAAACGGCUUUCUGGACCGUAACUGACG
rnacentral:rRNA from 1 species